AGUGAACGCUGGCGGUAGGCCUAACACAUGCAAGUCGAACGGCAGCACAGUAAGAGCUUGCUCUUACGGGUGGCGAGUGGCGGACGGGUGAGGAAUACAUCGGAAUCUACUUUUUCGUGGGGGAUAACGUAGGGAAACUUACGCUAAUACCGCAUACGACCUACGGGUGAAAGCAGGGGAUCUUCGGACCUUGCGCGAUUGAAUGAGCCGAUGUCGGAUUAGCUAGUUGGCGGGGUAAAGGCCCACCAAGGCGACGAUCGGUAGCUGGUCUGAGAGGAUGGUCAGCCACACUGGAACUGAGGCACGGUCCAGACUCCUACGGGAGGCAGCAGUGGGGAAUAUUGGACAAUGGGCGCAAGCCUGAUCCAGCCAUACCGCGUGGGUGAAGAAGGCCUUCGGGUUGUAAAGCCCUUUUGUUGGGAAAGAAAAGCAGCAGGUUAAUACCCCGCUGUUCUGACGGUACCCAAAGAAUAAGCACCGGCUAACUUCGUG
rnacentral:rRNA from 1 species